AUAAACGACGUCCAUCCGACGAGGAAGACAAACGGCGAGCGACGAACUGUUGAAUUACAUUCGGUCUAUCGAGCGCGCUGGAGCUAGGAACACCGAGGGAAGUAUGGAGGUCGGUUCCGUGCACUAGAUGCACGGCGGAAGAUUUGUGAUACGGAGGGAUGUUUAACGUCGAGAGUGUUCAGGUCUGAGAAGUGAACCGCGAACAAGCGGUUUACAUACAUUACUGUUCCGAGUUUGAAAAGGCUUCCGGAUGGACCAUUAAUCCUCAACCACGAUUCAUUGGGUCGAGCCUUCGAAGGGAGGUUUUCGAAAGCAAUGAGCCUCGCCGUAAACCACCACUCAGCGGUAGAAUGACGAAUUAAGAACGAUGAGUGACGUCACAAAGAUACGAACUGCCAAGCAGAGGUUCGAAUUAUUGUUGCAAGAUUACAACUGGUUGGGACAGGUCGUCGCAUCUCCGCUCUUCCAGCUGUCUAAGUAAACCUCGAAGGUUCUGUCUGCCACAUCUGGGUAGAGCCAAGAUCAGCAGAAUUCAGGAACAGAAACAGGAUCAAGAACAGCGCAAACCUCACCCAUGGGGCAUAGAGUCUCAUACAUUAUGCAAUGUCAGCCUCUCGACUUACAGCAGAGUCGACCUUAGCCUAAUAAAUGAAUGGUGAGUUUGAGAUCGACUUUGCGCAGCCUAAGCCUCACUUGCUGCUAAUCCUUUCCUAUUCCAGAUUCCCUCGUUUUCGGUCUCUUAGUGCGUAUAUCUAUAAAGCCGCUGAGUUGUCCAUACGAAAAUAUUUUAUAAAUUAUAGUAUAUGAUAUAGUUCUUAUAUGGAUAUUAGUCGAAUAUAUAAUACAACAAGUUCAGGAUAUAUUGUGAAUAUAAUUUCAAAUAUAUUUCACAUAUAUUUACACAUAUAAAUUGAUGGAUAUGUGCAUAAACGUUUUUAGCCUGUAUAUUAAAUAUGUAGUAUAACAUACUUAUAUAUAUUAUAAACAGAAAUAUAAAUAAGUAUAUAUAUCCGUAUAUAUUUUAAAAUAUAUAUUUCAUGUACGUAUAUGUAACGUAUUUAUUUUCAUGACACCUGCAUCGAGACUUUAAAUUUCAGUGUCUCUACGGCCAGGCGAAACAAGCUAAUUUCAGACCUAAAUUACGAAUGCUUAAUAUCAGCAGACAGAAUCAAUUACAUUUCUUCCCGCUGCCAGUCAAAUUCAAUGUUUAUUCCAGCCCUAUUACUUUGUUAUUUGCUUGUUAGUUACUUUAGUUUACUUAUUUGACUUUCAUAUGUGACAGUUCUAACCGUGCUAUCAUCACUAUUUACGCAUACGCUAAUAGUUAUUCACACCAUGAGCAUUAAAUUAAUUUAUUUCUUAUUGGCUGUUGAUAAGUACUGAAACUUGAUUUCAAUGCAGGUAAUCAUGAAAAAUAUAGUGUGACACAGGAUAAAAUAGGAUUUCAAACCUCGGAUGAUGUCAGCCCGCGAUUACGGCUCAGGCAGUCAACUUCACUCUAGUCUGAAAUCGUCUUGUUUCAUCCCUUGUCACACAAUAUAGUAUUGUAUAUAUUGAUUGUAAAAAUAAUGUAAAUUUUUAUAUACAAAUUAACUAUAUAUCACAUAUAAAAAUUGGGCAGAAUUUCAUAGGUUUUGCAUAUGUUUAACAUAUGUCAUUUAUAUACGUGAACAUAUGUGCCGAGAUAUAUUUUCAAUUACAUGUAAUAUAUGUAUAUAUGGAAUAUUUUGGUAUGUGUGAUAGAUGUGGUGAUGGGAAUUUAUCCCGUCAGAGCUUACUGGGUCGUCUCGUUAUGGGUUAAAAACUUUGCAGAAUUACAAACAACCUUUGGCAAGAAAUACAAGAAUGUAUUUUAAUUUAGUUUAAUAGUAUUCGAUGCUUUAUUUCGCGAAAUAAAUCAUUGUAUAUCGUUGUUGAAAGAGGAAAGAGGUUGGAUAUUUUAUAAGAAGCAGUUAAAUUUUUCUGUAUAAAAAUAGUAGUUUUAUCGUAGGUUAGGUCUCCUAUAAUAUAUAGCUUAGCCUAUUUAGUAUCAGGGAAAUCGAUUCAUUACAAUUAUGUUUUCUUAAUUUCUUUGAAAAUAACCUUAUUCUUUUACAGGUUUGUAUUUUCACAUAAAUGAUUCUUGGUAAAAAAAUCCAAUGAAAUUAUGGUCAGAACGAUGCGAUUAAUAAUUAUUUAGCAUAUUAUAUUGACUAUUUUAUCGUUAUUAUUUUGACAACCGCAUAUUUAGUGUAUUACGUCAAAUUACUGCUAUUAUUUUAUGUUAUUAUCGUAGCGAAGUUCGGUAAAAUAAUUCUUAGUUGAUGAUUGAAAAUUGUAUAAAUUCGUUUAAAACAGUUUCUUUCCCUUCUUGAAUAUUAAGAUUGAAUUUUUAUAGUAUUCAUUUUCAAUUCUUAUGGCUCUCGUUAUUCUUUCACCCCAUUUUUCGGUUUGUUUCCCGACUCUUCAUCUGUUUCCAUGUUCAGACUUAUUUCAAGAAUAAAUUUUAUCCAAAAUAGUA